CAUGGGUUUCUGCGUGGCAUCCCUCCAGCGAGGCGUCAUCAGGGCGUCCGGCCCGCGCCCGGCGGCAGCUGCACUUCAGGAACGAGUGGGCGUCGUGGAGCGGCUGGUCUGUCUGUUCCCGUAGCUGCGGGGGCGGAGCCUCAGUCAGGACUCGCACCUGCAUCACAAGGAACCCAGUGGGUGGACCAUGUUCAGGAGAGCCCAGACAAUACAAGAUCUGCAACACUAAGGAAUGCCCCCCCA